GACGAACGCUGGCGGCGUGCUUAACACAUGCAAGUCGAACGGAAAGGCCCUGCUCUUGUGGGGUUCUCGAUUGGCGAACGGGUGAGUAACACGCGUGUAUCCUGCCCUUGUCUUUCGGAUAACUUCACGAAACUGGGGCUAAUAUCGGAUAUAAGCUCCUGCUGCAUGUUGGGGGUUGGAAAGUUUCGGCGGUUGGGGAUGGACUCGCGGCUUAUCCGCUAGUUAGUCGAGUAGUGGAUUACCAAGGGUGAGACGGAUAGCCGGCCUGGGAGGGUUACCGGGCACAUGGGGACUAAGAGAGGGCGCAGAAUGCUACGGGAGGCAGCGGUCGAGAGUAUGACACAAUGGGCGGGAGCCUGAGACAGCGGCGCCGGGAGCGGGAUGACGGCCUUCGGGUUAAAAACCGAUUUCGCCUGUGACGUAGAGGGAGUGACGGUAAUGAGUAAAGAAGCAACGGCUAACUACGUG
rnacentral:rRNA from 1 species